UCAUCCAUACUCGUAAAAGCCAUGUCUUUUUUACCCUGUAGAACCGAGCGAGUGUAGCCGGUAACACAGCUCGUUUCUGAGGGUUCACAAGACUUUGGAUCAUGCUGCUGAUGUCUGU
rnacentral:pre_miRNA from 10 species